rnacentral:rRNA from 1 species
GUGCUUAACACAUGCAAGUCGAACGCGAAAGUGGUCUUCGGACCGCGAGUAGAGUGGCGCACGGGUGAGUAACGCGUAAAUAAUCUACCCUGAUGUCUGGAAUAAUUAGCCGAAAGGCUGACUAAUACGGGAUACAUGCUUUGCUGUUGGGUGAAGCAGGAAAGGUGGCCUCUAUUUAUAAGCUAUCGCAUUGGGAUGAGUUUGCGUACCAUUAGCUAGUUGGUGGGGUAAGAGCCCACCAAGGCGACGAUGGUUAGCGGGUCUGAGAGGAUGAUCCGCCACACUGGCACUGGAACACGGGCCAGACUCCUACGGGAGGCAGCAGUGAGGAAUAUUGCGCAAUGGGGGCAACCCUGACGCAGCGACGCCGCGUGAGUGAGGAAGGCCUUCGGGUCGUAAAGCUCUGUCAGCAGGGAAGAAGUGCAUGAUGGCUAAUAUCCAUUGUGUUUGACGGUACCUGCAAAGGAAGCACCGGCUAACUCCGUGCCAGCAGCCGCGGUAA